rnacentral:rRNA from 1 species
AAUGAACGCUGGCGGCAUGCCUAACACAUGCAAGUCGAACGAGACCUUCGGGUCUAGUGGCGCACGGGUGCGUAACGCGUGGGAAUCUGCCCUUGGGUUCGGAAUAACAGUUAGAAAUGACUGCUAAUACCGGAUGAUGUCGUAAGACCAAAGAUUUAUCGCCCAAGGAUGAGCCCGCGUAGGAUUAGCUAGUUGGUGAGGUAAAGGCUCACCAAGGCGACGAUCCUUAGCUGGUCUGAGAGGAUGAUCAGCCACACUGGGACUGAGACACGGCCCAGACUCCUACGGGAGGCAGCAGUGGGGAAUAUUGGACAAUGGGCGAAAGCCUGAUCCAGCAAUGCCGCGUGAGUGAUGAAGGCCUUAGGGUUGUAAAGCUCUUUUACCCGGGAUGAUAAUGACAGUACCGGGAGAAUAAGCUCCGGCUAACUUCGUG